rnacentral:lncRNA from 1 species
CACAAUUGUAGGUGUUAGAAGUCUGUUGACGUUCGACUUGUAUUAUUAUGGUAAUAUCAAUAGGCUUUACCUAUGUUUGUUUACACGUAGAAUGACAACAGUCAUCGAUUAAAGUUGAUCUACCAGUGGAUAGGAUUUUAUGAAUGAAUGAAGUUAAUGUUUCACCUGGAUUUAGUUAUUUUAAUUAAUUAAUGUGAGGUUUGAACUGAAGGAACUAUAUCCAGACACAACACAGGUGA